rnacentral:rRNA from 1 species
GUCCACGCCCUAAACGAUGUCAACUAGGUGUUGGGAGCGCAAGUUCUCAGUACCGCAGCUAACGCGUGAAGUUGACCGCCUGGGGAGUACGGUCGCAAGAUUAAAACUCAAAGGAAUUGACGGGGACCCCGCACAAGCGGUGGAUGAUGUGGAUUAAUUCGAUGCAACGCGAACAACCUUACCUACCCUUGACAUGUCUGGGACCCUGCUGAAAGGCGGGGGUGCCCGAAAGGGAACCGGAACACAGGUGCUGCAUGGCUGUCGU